rnacentral:SRP_RNA from 1 species
CUUUUCUGCUGAUGGCAAAGCCGUGCUGAGUUUCAAUAUGGCGAUACCUACGGAUGCCGCGGACGACGGCGCUGCUAAAAUCUGGAGCACUGACACAGGCCAGUGCAUGCAAACCCUCACGCACGGAAGUUG